GACCCGGAGUGUGCCUGCACACGCAGGGUCAUGGAUAUUGGACGGGCAAGCCGGUAUGAGUAAGGAGGGCGACAGCCCGGAUUACGAAUACUGGCGGCAGAUGCGGGAGUGCACAGCACGGAGCAUCUGG
rnacentral:sRNA from 1 species